rnacentral:lncRNA from 1 species
UUCAAUGGCUUAAGGCUAAAAUUUCUAAUAAUUAAAACAUGUCUAAGUUUGAAAUCACAAGCAAAAGAAGGUUUUGAAAGGAGGGAGAGAUUUUGAAAUUAAAGAAAGUGGGAGGAGAUGAAGAGGCUACCCUAAGAAUUUUUUUAAAAGUUUAAGAGUUGAAAAGAUCUGACCAAUGGGAUGCAAUCCAACAGACAAGAAUGUCAUAUAGAAACCCAUUUUUCUUUUGACUUUGAUAAGCAAU